rnacentral:rRNA from 1 species
UACAGAGGUGGCAAGCGUUGUUCGGAAUUACUGGGCGUAAAGGGCGCGUAGGCGGUCUUGUCAGUCCCUUGUGAAAUCCCCCGGCUCAACUGGGGAACUGCAAGGGAAACAGCAGGGCUUGAGUUCGGGAGAGGGAAGCGGAAUUCCGGGUGUAGCGGUGAAAUGCGUAGAUAUCCGGGAGGAACACCGGUGGCGAAGGCGGCUCCUGGACCGAUACUGACGCUGAGGCGCGAAAGCUAGGGAGCAAACGGG